CGCGGUAAUACGUAGGUGGCAAGCGUUAUCCGGAAUUAUUGGGCGUAAAGCGCGCGCAGGUGGUUUCUUAAGUCUGAUGUGAAAGCCCACGGCUCAACCGUGGAGGGUCAUUGGAAACUGGGAGACUUGAGUGCAGAAGAGGAAAGUGGAAUUCCAUGUGUAGCGGUGAAAUGCGUAGAGAUAUGGAGGAACACCAGUGGCGAAGGCGACUUUCUGGUCUGUAACUGACACUGAGGCGCGAAAGCGUGGGGAGCAAACAGGAUUAGAU
rnacentral:rRNA from 1 species